CACGAGUUUUGCUGCUUUGUAACCAAUAAAUGUGAUAGUGAAAAAUUUAUUAAAAGUGCUAACUGUUACUAUACAAGUAAAAAUGCUUAAAAUAUUGGUUCAAAGUUUAGCGAAAAUCUCGUGUGAAAACCGAGCGCCGUCACAUGUGGCUGCAGUGGCGUGUGUAAAAAAUUUAUUGAUUUUUCCAUCGGCCGUUAUUAACCCAGCCACGAGUACUAUAUCACGACGCCAUUUUCUUUUUUCUUCAACCAACAGAGGACCGGUGAAUUUUGCUUUUUCCAAGUAUCAACUAUUUACAGGCAGAGAAACUAUCGCUCAAGCAGAGUUUAAGAAAUCUAGUAAUCUCGGUGGAAUAACAAGUAGCUCUGAUAGCUUCUAUAGGUAUUUUCACAAAACAAGCGAAAAUUUGUUGGAAGCAGAAGCGACGCCUGUGGAAAAGCAAAAAUUUACGGCAACAAAAAGAGAUCAGGACUCAUUUACAAAAACAUCAAUAUAUAUAGAUCCAGACGAAAUGGCACCUCACGAUAGGAAUUUUGGUACUCGUGGUGGACGUGGCGGUGAUGACCGUCAGGCCAGACAUGGCGGCAGUGCUGGUGGCAUGCGUCAUGGCGGCGGCGGUGGUGGUGUUGGUGGUGGUGACUUCCAUGGCGUACGCAAUGGACGUAUUGACAAGAACCGUGGUGGCGGCCGUGGCGGUAAUUUUGGUGGCGGCAGUGGCUUCGGCGGCGGAGCUGGUGGGUACGGUGGUGGCAAUAGCCGCGGUGGCACACAGGACAUCACACUUGGCUCUGUCGAUUUCUCAAAUCUGGCACCCUUCAAGAAGAAUUUCUACCAAGAACACCCAAUUGUAGCCAAUCGUUCGCCCUAUGAAGUACAGCGCUUCCGUGAUGAGCAUGAGAUUACCAUUCGUGGAAAUGCACCAAACCCAAUUCAGGACUUCAGUGAAGCGUAUUUUCCGGAUUAUGUUAUGAAGGAGAUACGUCGACAAGGAUACAAGGCACCUACAGCUAUCCAAGCUCAAGGUUGGCCAAUCGCUAUGAGCGGUUCUAAUUUUGUUGGUAUUGCUCAGACUGGAUCAGGAAAAACACUCGGUUAUAUCUUACCAGCAAUUGUGCACAUUAACAACCAAAAACCAUUGGAGCGUGGUGAUGGACCAAUUGCAUUAGUAUUGGCACCUACACGCGAAUUGGCUCAACAGAUUCAACAAGUUGCGACAGAAUUCGGGUCAUCUUCUUAUGUUCGAAAUACUUGUGUAUUCGGUGGUGCUCCAAAAGGAGGCCAAAUGCGCGACUUGCAGCGUGGAUGCGAGAUCGUCAUUGCCACACCCGGUCGUCUAAUUGAUUUUCUCUCAAUGAAUGCUACAAACUUGAAGCGUUGUACAUAUCUAGUAUUAGAUGAAGCUGACCGUAUGUUAGACAUGGGUUUCGAGCCACAGAUCCGCAAAAUAUUGUCACAGAUUCGCCCUGAUCGCCAAACUCUCAUGUGGUCCGCCACUUGGCCGAAAGAGGUUAAGCAAUUGGCAGAAGAUUUCCUCGGCAACUACAUACAAAUCAAUAUUGGCUCUUUGGAGUUGUCGGCGAACCAUAACAUCCGUCAAGUGAUCGAUGUUUGCGAAGAACAUGACAAGGAAGACAAGCUGAAAUCAUUGCUUUCCGAAAUUUACGAUACCAGCGAAAACCCCGGCAAGAUCAUCAUAUUUGUGGAGACUAAACGCCGUGUUGACAAUCUGGUGCGUUUCAUUCGCAGUUUUGGUGUACGUUGUGGCGCCAUUCACGGUGACAAGUCACAGUCAGAACGUGACUACGUUUUGCGCGAAUUCCGUUCGGGCAAGUCAAACAUUUUGGUAGCAACCGACGUGGCUGCACGCGGUUUGGAGGCCGAUUAUUGUAGUAUGGUGGGGAUAGUAUGAACAACUUCUGAAACUACGCAAUUCGAUACAAUUGCGUUUAUAAGUGAACUCUGAAAUUUUAUCAUAAAAAGAAGCCGGUGAAAAGUUCUUUGAAAGGAUCUUUUCCAAAAAAAACCGAGUGUGGUGGCAGUACUUUGUCUAAACAUUCCAAGGUAAAACGGAUGUGGAACCAUCUGCUGCCAUACGUUUGCUCAUAACGUCACUGCACAUUGGAGGAGAAGAUAUAUUAAUCAACAGCCGAUAGAUAAUCUUGCCUGAUACGUGCAACCUUUACGAAAAAGCGUUCCAGCGUACUCUAGCUGAUACUCAAUUGAUAAGCAACAAGAAAACAAAAAGCGGCAACAUUCAUUUACAAUACGCGAGAUAUAUGUCGCGUCGUGUAAAAUAUUUGUUCUUCCAAAUACAAAAGUAAAUUCUACUUCUUCCCAAAUUCGCAAUGUGCACAUAGAGUUCUGCGGUACACAAUAUCCCUAUCAUCAUGCAGCAAAUGUGGCCUCUGCUAUCUUUUAUUCAAGUGAUAGUAUUUGUAAAACUAAACAAUAUCGAUUCCAAAGAGAGAAAACUAUAAAAAAAGAAAUAGGAUUUCUAACCGUACAGACAGCGUUACUCAAAUGACUUACUGUGGAGCACAUAAAGGAGAGAUUAAGUUAGUUAUUUUAUGUGUAUCUCUCUGGCAUGUACUCCAUAAGGGAACAGCGUUUAAAUCACACGCAGGCACUUAGAGAAACUCCAUAAAACUAAAUGCAUGUCCGUCCUAGAAUCGCAACAGCGCAUGUGUUCUUUGGCUGGAUCGUAACGUCAUCGUAAAAAAGAUAAUUGAUUUGCAAGGAACAGGGUCACUACGGUUAUUGCAAUAUUUUAAUAGUUGUCGUAGUGUUGGAAUUGAUAACAAUAUUAUAAGUGAAAUUAAUUUUUAUUUGUUUGCAAACGCUGUGAUCCUGUUCAUCGCGUAUCCGCGGAUUUGAAGCUAGGUUGGUUGGUGUAACGUGGCACGGUGUAAAAAUGUUUUGCCUUACUCAUUCGAUAGACGUAAACGGUUGCAUCGAACGUGUUGGUGGCGACCUUCUUUUGGACACUAAACAAAUGUUGAGAAGCUGUUGCUGUUGUUCUAACUCUACCAUGGACAUCACAGAACACCAGUUCACCAUUUGCUGCACGUCCAGAAAUAAGCGUCGUCGUCUGCGGAUACUGGUGCAACACAUUCACAUUCCAUAAAAUGCGAAAAGUUCGUGCAAGGCAAAACGUUCUCUUAGAAAAAGUGCCACAUAUGCAUCGCAAAGCCGCCUACAAAGGACACAGUUGCAACAUCGAUUAUUUAAUUAAUACUAUAAUUUGGAGGAUAUGCAUAUCAAAAGCUUGAAAUGUAAAAAUAAACACAGUUAUUUGGAGAAAAGCGGCGGGCAUUUACUGGCCGUUGAACUGAAAAGAUGAAAACAUGCUUUAUCAACUUGCCUGCGGUAGUGGUUUACCUGAACAUUGGUAGAUGGAUGCACGACGUCGGCGGGCGGCGCACAAACUCGAACCAUAAAAUUAGUUGGAUGUGCGCUGAACUCCGAUCGAGACGCAUUAAUUCAAAAGUCGUGCGGAAUCGAGCUGCAUCGUUCGUCCAUCUUCUGUCAAGUCAAUGCUGAUUGAGUGAGGGAGAGACAGAUUAGAGGGAAAAAUACCCUACAUAUAUUUAAAGUUUUUCGACAUGCUCUUUUCCUCGUUUCGCUGAACGUGACGAGAGAAGAGCGUGGAUAUAAAUCGACUAUUUGAAGACGUUGAUGGCAUCAAAUAUGUGAUUAAUUUCGAUUACCCACAAUCGUCGGAGGACUACAUUCACAGAAUAGGACGCACUGGACGUUCCAAUACAAAGGGCACUUCAUAUGCAU